GCUCCAGCCAACUUUAGCUAUCACCUCAAGCUCUGAACAGGAGGAGGAAGAGGAGGAGGAGGAGGAGCCGAGCGUGGGAUUCUGGGAGAUGUAGGCUCUACCCGGGAAGAGGGCCUUAGAGUGCAGGGCAGCAGAACUACAGAGCCCAGCAUUCCAAGGGAAAAAAAAGGCGGGAAAAAUGGACUGAGGGGAGAAAAAACUCUUGGCGUCUGAGGGGAGAUGGAGAGAGAGUCUUGUUCUGAGGGGAAAAAAUGGCUCUGGCUUUUUGGGAGAUUAUCUGAAUCAAAGCCUCACAAAUGCCCCGAGGGGUGUUGGGAGUUUGGGCCAGGCAGGCCGGUCAUCAGAGGAGAGGGAGAGAAGGAGCCGGUCAUCAGCCAGAGUCUCCUUCGAGGCUACGGUAAUAAUUUCCUGAUUUCUGGAAGUGCUUCAAACAAUUGGGAAGACACUUGCCAUCUCUUCCUGCCUCGUCCUCCAGGCUAAACUUCUGUUGCCGAAGAGGGAGAUUCUUUUGCCGAAUUCUUUUCUUGAAUAAAUCUCACUUUAAAGUAA